CCGGAAGAAAGCAGCCGUAGCGUGCAUUCGCGUGCUGCA
rnacentral:SRP_RNA from 14 species